rnacentral:rRNA from 1 species
AUUGAACGCUGGCGGCAGGCUUAACACAUGCAAGUCGAACGAGCGGCGGACGGGUGAGUAAUGUCUGGGAAACUUCCUGAUGGAGGGGGAUAACUACUGGAAACGGUAGCUAAUACCGCAUACCAUCAGAUGUGCCCAGAUGGGAUUAGCUAGUAGGUGGGGUAAUGGCUCACCUAGGCGACGAUCCCUAGCUGGUCUGAGAGGAUGACCAGCCACACUGGAACUGAGACACGGUCAAGACUCCUACGGGAGGCAGAAGUGGGGAAUAUUGCACAAGGGGCGAAAGCCGGAUGAAGCCAGGCCGCGUGUGUGAAGAAGGCCUUCGGGUGGUAAAGCACGUUCAGCGAGGAGGCGGUACUCGCAGAAGAAGCACCGGCUAACUCCGUGCCAGCAGCCGCGGUAAUUC